rnacentral:rRNA from 1 species
UUGAACGCUGGCGGAAUGCUUUACACAUGCAAGUCGAGCGGCAGCGCGGGGGCAACCCUGGCGGCGAGCGGCGAACGGGUGAGUAACACAUCGGAACGUACCCAGUUGUGGGGGAUAGCCCGGCGAAAGCCGGAUUAAUACCGCAUACGACCUGAGGGUGAAAGGGGGGGAUCGCAAGACCUCUCGCAGUUGGAGCGGCCGAUGGCGGAUUAGCUAGUUGGUGGGGUAAAGGCCUACCAAGGCGACGAUCCGUAGCUGGUCUGAGAGGAGGAUCCGCCACACUGGGACUGAGACACGGCCCAGACGCCUAAGGGAGGCAGCAGUGGGGAAUUUUGGACAAUGGGGGCAACCCUGAUCCAGCCAUGCCGCGUGAGUGAAGAAGGCCUUCGGGUUGUAAAGCGCUGUCAGACGGAAAGAAAACGCAUCGGUGAAUACCCGGUGGGGAUGACGGUACCGUAAGAAGAAGCACCGGCCAACUACGU